rnacentral:lncRNA from 1 species
AUGACAAGAGACACUGCUACGCCUACUUACCGUUCUCAGCUGGACCAAGUUCUGCAGUGCAGUGUUACCGGCUACAGUCACCCAGUUUUACAUCCGAACCUCAGAGGAGAGACGGUCCUCUGGGCACCUCCAAGUGCCACCUUGUUUAGGGAGGGCAUCACCUGGAGCCCCCCAGCUCACAGUCUUGCAGGGAGCCCUUCAGUCCAGCGUCCAAAUGUUGGUAAGUCACGUAGUGUGAAAAUGCUGCCAGCGAAGUCAGACUUGUUGUUCUAGGAGCUUAUGAAAGAGUCAGAAGGAGCAUUCCUUGUUCAAGUAUCUCUUUCUUUCCCUUGGCGUCUGCAGGAACUGCGUGGGGCAGCAGUUUGCGAUGGCUGAGUUAAAGGCGGCCGUCGCCUUGAUUCUGCUCCGCUUCUCACUGACGGCAGAACCCACCAGGCCUCUCGUCUCCAGGCCCAAUAUUUUCCUCAAACCCAAGAACGGGCUCUACUUGCACCUGAAGAAACUCGCCUAAUGUCAGCCCAGAGUACGAUGAGUACAUACAUUUUAUUUUAAAGGCAGGUUGUAGCUGAUGGUUCAAGACAAGGGAGGAGAAUGCAAGCGUGGGGGUGGGGUUAAGAGAAGAAGGGCUGAGGGCCCCUGUAGAGCUGCCCAUUGUUCAAAGCAUGUCUGUGUGACCUAAGGUAGCACCUAGAUCUCUUUCCGUAGGACCGACCAGAUUUUCAGAUCACUUCUGUUUGAUUCUGGCUAUUACUCUUGCCACAUAUCAAGCAAGAGUUUUGCUAGAUGGCUUCCAUAUAAUUGCGAUUGUUUUCAACUUUUUUUCAGAAUGACACAGGUCAUAGGUGAAUGUAUGCUCACUGUAAAAGGUUUACAACACUCGAAAAGCGGGUGGAGUUACAAGUAACCUAGGCCACACCUCCCUGCCCAAUCUACUGCUUUUCCUGAAGACGGACUAGUUUGGCGUGCACUCUUUCAGCUUUUCCCUGUACAGUUCCGAUGUGCAUGUGUAUGUGUGUGCUCUUGUCUAUGGGAUCACAUCCAUAUUGUUCCUGCUUUUUCUCACUUAAUAAAAACGCAUCUCAGUCCUAGUCA